UGCCGGCGACCGGCGGACGGGUGCGUAACGCGUAUGUAACCUACCUUUGACAGGGGGAUAACAUCGAGAAAUUGGUACUAAUACCCCAUAACAUCACCGGAGGCAUCUUCGGUGGUUGAAAACUCAGGUGGUCAGAGAUGGACAUGCGUUGUAUUAGCUAGUUGGUGAGGUAACAGCUCACCAAGGCGACGAUACAUAGGGGGACUGAGAGGUCAACCCCCCACAUUGGUACUGAGACACGGACCAAACUCCUACGGGAGGCAGCAG
rnacentral:rRNA from 1 species